rnacentral:snRNA from 1 species
AUACUUACCUGGCAGGGGAUACCAUGAUCAAGAAGGUGGUUCACCCAUGGCGAGGCCUGGCCAUUGCACUCCGGUGGGCUGACCUAUGCGAAUUCCCAAAUGUGGGAAUCUCGACUGCAUAAUUUGUGGUAGUGGGGACUGCGUUCGCGCUCUCCCCUG